UGGGGAAUAUUGGGCAAUGGGCGAAAGCCUGACCCAGCAACGCCGCGUGAAGGAAGAAGGUUUUCGGAUUGUAAACUUCUGUCCUCAGGGAAGAAGGAAGUGACGGUACCUUAGGAGGAAGCCCCGGCUAACUACGUGCCAGCAGCCGCGGUAAUACGUAGGGGGCAAGCGUUAUCCGGAAUUACUGGGCGUAAAGAGUGCGUAGGUGGUUUUACAAGCCUUGGGUGAAAGGCUACAGCUCAACUGUAGUAAGCCUUGGGAACUGUAUGACUUGAGUGCAGGAGAGGAGAGCGGAAUUCCUAGUGUAGCGGUGAAAUGCGUAGAUAUUAGGAGGAACACCAGUGGCGAAGGCGGCUCUCUGGACUGUAACUGACGCUGAGGCACGAAAGCGUGGGGAGCGAACAGG
rnacentral:rRNA from 1 species